rnacentral:lncRNA from 1 species
CACCCCCCUUUUGCUUCCUCUGCCUUUCUGAUUCUCAAUCUGCUUAACCAGGCUUUAGAGGCCAAGCAAAUCUGAGAUCAAUUUUCUCGUUUAGCUCUAAGUGACAUCAUCUAAAAUCAUUGUGCAAGGGCUAAAUAAGGAAACGGAGUCUAAUUCAGGGGCAAACGCCAGGCUAUAUUUAUCAAACGCCAAGCUGGGCUCGGGGUUGCCCGCUCCCGGAAUCCCGGAGUCUCCGCGGCCCGAACCGAGUCUGGACCAUUUAGAAGACGCCGGCAGGUAACUGGCCUCCCCAAACGCCCAGAGAAUUAAAAGCCUUAGGAGGCUUGUUCUGUGUUUGUGGUUUUGUAAAGGCAAUGCCCGCGGCAAUAGGCCUGGGAAAGUCGCACUUUCAUCCACAAAGUUGAGGAGUUGCAAGGAAUAAUCGGGUGUCACACCACAAGCAACCUUGACUCGAUCGGACCCCACCCAGGAUACACACAGACAAAGAGGCGCUACACUCCAAGGCGGCCCUUUGGAACCGUCCUUGGCCCGGGUGCACCUACUUUGGAUUCGCCCAGGCUGCAAAUUUUCUUUCCUUUUGCUGGGGCCACGGGACAGAGCACCUGGGCAGAGCAAGCGGAGAGGCGCCACACCCCCGAGAGGCGCUUCGAAGUGUCCUUGGACCGGGCGCAGACACUCAGUAUUGGUCAGCGCUGGAAAUUUUCUUUCCUUUUGCUGUUGGGGCCGCAGAACUAGUCUCCUUCUUUCCCCUGCUCAGACAAAGGGCACGGGAAGGGCUUUGCUGGGGCAAAGGGGGGUGGGGGGGUUCUCUGUCCCACGACAGAUGGGUCGCGGUUAAGACUUUAAUUGCUGACUUUUGGGCCGGAUCAGAUUCCUUUUCCUACCUGCCACUUCCCAGCAGCGAAAAAUCCCCCUCCUGCUGCACUCUUCCGCCACCGGGCUAGGUUGAAAGGAAAAAGCCAAGAAGCGCGAAGCAGCCCGGCUCUGGAAGGCUUUUGAGAGUCCAGCUGACUUGUACACAAUUCGCGGCCUCUUGGAGCCUUACCUGCCUUCUUGACUGAAUGCCACCAGUUCGUUUUACGCUUGUGGGCUUUUUGUUGAAGUCCCUAUCAUAAACAAAUGCAGUUUCUGGCUAUGGUUACUGCAAUUCGAAAUAAAAGGGGCCUGUGAGGUGUGUCCCUCCAGACUGAGAGGCUACGACUCAGGGCUGGACUUUAUGGAAAAAAAGAAGUUUAUAAAACAAGUAACCCAGUUUCUCCAACCUUUACUGUGGAGCAACAGCGUCAAGCAACAAAACCCAGCAAAGUUUUGCUUGUCACUUACAAGGGUGUUACUGAAAUCUGGAAGGCGAACAAUUAGAAGAUAGCCCAAACAUGCUCUAUUGCUCUACACUGAAAUACUUGCCUCCAAUAAUAGAAAAAAACUGUUUUCGUGCAAUUGAUUGAUUAGCGUUUUGCAGCAGUCCCUGCACAAUUUUAAAGACAUUUUGUGUUUGUGGUCAAAAUUAAAAACAAGCAGACACACACACAAAACAACCGUAUUCAAGACACAGUUCGACUGUUUCCUUGACACUACCCACGAAGUUUAAAGCAUUUUUUAUGUUAUUUUCAAACUUUCUUAAGUGAUCCCAUGAAAUAAAAGUCGAUAAUAGAAAUU